rnacentral:rRNA from 1 species
UACGGAGGGUGCAAGCGUUGCUCGGAAUUAUUGGGCGUAAAGGGUAGGUAGGUGGUCUCAUUUGUCUGGGGUGAAAGCCUUGAGCUUAACUCAAGAAGUGCCCCAGAAACGGUGAGACUAGAGUCUUGGAGAGGGUCGUGGAAUUCCCGGUGUAGCGGUGAAAUGCGUAGAUAUCUGGAGGAACACCGGUGGCGAAGGCGGCAUCCUGGACCGACACUGACGCUGAGGAGCGAAAGCCAGGGGAGCAAACGGG